rnacentral:rRNA from 1 species
UGAGCAAUCUGCCCUUCUCUUCGGAAUAAGCGUUGGAAACGACGUCUAAUGCCGAAUACGACCUCCUUUCGCAUGAUCGGAGGUGGAAAGCUCCGGCGGAGAAGGAUGAGCUCGCGGCCUAUCAGCUAGUUGGUGUGGGUAAUGGCCCACCAAGGCGAUGACGGGUAGCUGGCCUGAGAGGGUGACCGGCCACACUGGGACUGAGACACGGCCCAGACUCCUAGGGAGG